UCAAUUAAAAUUUGAUGAUUACUGAUAGAAUAAUCAAGGGAAAAAGGGUUUUCAUUUUUUGAGAGAGAGAGAGAGUGUUCAAAAAAUGGAAGGAAGAUGAUUGCGACAAAUGGUGGUCAUAAUUUAACCGACGAAGAUAUUCCAGCAAAAUUCUUGGACGGGAAAUUCACUGGGAAUAAUCAUUUUGGAGCUCGGGUUAAUUGGGUUUGUCGAGACGGAAAGUGUUUUUCGCAGGGGAAGGAAGAAGAAUUCGACAGGUAUAGUUUCAAGAAAAAUAAUGGGUACACGAAAAGCAGAACCUGAACAACGAUAUUAGAUUUGAGGAUAAGUUUUACAUCUGGAGUGGUCUCAUUUUCAGGAUUCAUCCGACGGUAAAACCCAGCCGCCCGUUUCCCCGUUGUGCUCUGGAGGGCGUGAAGGUCUGUCUGAGUACUCAUUUAUGUGUUUGCCUCUGCCCUAUUCUGGCGCAUGGGCUGCCCAGAGGAGGGAUGGCUUUUGGAAGGGCAUCAAGUGUAUCAUACUGUUGAAUAUGCUCUUCCACUUAUCAAAAUUUCGUGAAAAUUGUAAGUCAUUCCCUAUCCUCUCUCUUACUUCUCCAUUUGAAGAUUAGGUGAGGUUUGAUCU